rnacentral:tRNA from 1 species
GCCUUAGUCGUGUAGUGGUCAGCACGCUCGACACGUAUUCGAGAAGUCCGUGGUUCGAGUCCCGGCAAGGGCA